rnacentral:lncRNA from 1 species
AUAUCCAUGUUGAGAGAGCAAAUGAAGUCCAAGAAGAGGCACACAUGACAAGCGACACAAUGAAACAGGAUUAAAGCACUGGUUGCACUUGAGUGAAAGAUUAAGUCAAAUGUUUUCUGAAAUAGAUCAUUACUCCAAAAUACAAAUUCAAUUUUCUGAGAGUAUGGCUACCAGUCAAUAUAUUUAGCUGACAGGAGGUUAAUCACAGAUUUUGUUUUCAAGACUUAAAAAUCUAACAGUAACAUUAUCAAAAGCGAUGGUACUAAUUUUGAUAGAUUUAAAACUAGCUCCAAAUAAACUUGCUAUGUAAAUACAUAAAUGCUGUAUCAAAUUCAAGAUCAGCCCAGUAUGAACUUUGAGAGAGGAUUAGCUUCACUGCAUCUGGUCUUGGGAAUGGCAAAAAAUAGCAAUUCAUCCUCAAAUUAGCUUGAAAGGGAUCAAGCUUUGGACUGGGGAAGAGGAGGAUUAGUGUGUUCCAUUUCCCCCAAAAUAACCAACAGCUUUUGUUCAGUUUAUUCCUAUCAGCUCACAAAUGAAUCUUGCUACAUUUGUGAACAUUUCAUCUACCAGUCAACCAGAAUACAACAGAUGUUGAAGCGUACAACAGUACAGCACUAGUAUUGUCUCAAGUCACAGAGUUAAUACGCAGUUCAAAUCCAGGCUCUCAUUUUCCCAUUUUUGGGAACUUGAAUAUUCUGUUUGAUUAACUCAAUAGCCAGAAAGAAAGCUUCAGUCCGACUCACAUGCAAACUAUUUUGCCUGUAAGAUUUCGGUUCUCAGACUCUUAAUUUUGGCUAAUGCUAACUUCUACUCAAAACUUCACUGUAGCACAGAGAGAAGGAAAAUACUUUAUGUCAGGAAGAAAAGGGAAGGGGAACAGAGCAGAAAAUCUACUUGCAGAAAUAAUUUUACUUUUCUCCUGCUGUCAAUGUGAGACUCAUAUCAUCAUUCAGUCUUCAAAAACAGUGCUGUCAACAGGUGAAGAAGGACAUAAACAUCACAACAACCGGUUAAUUUUCAGUUGCAUUCUCAUGAGUGAAUUCCUGAAGUUAAACAUAGGCUGCCGUACUUCACUGCAACUGAGACUGUGCCUAAUGAUUAGGCUGUACUGGCCAAAGAGGAAAGCAUAACUCCUUAUCAUCAUUGGCUUUGCACUGCAACUUCAACUGUCCUACAGACGGGAAGGAAACUGGUAAUGCAAGACACCUCUGGAACAAUCACAACACAGUUAACGUGCCUUUAUCCUCACAUCAUGUGAAUCUGCUGUACCGCUUCUGCACUAAAAUGGAGGAGAUUGGCAUGCCUAACUUCAGCAUUUUUCCUGUCAAUUUGCCAUACUUUCAGGGCUGUAUCAACUCACUAAAGAAGAUCAGAGAGAGCAUUUCAGUGUCUUGUGAGAAACACAGAGGGGAAAAAAAAGAAAUAAUAUACCUUUAAGUGUAACAGGCUUACAGUUAUGUAGAAAUGUUGCACUGCUGACACUAGAUAUAUGUCAUAUAUGAACAACAAAUCAUUUAAUAAACACAAGCAAAGGGAG